UCAUUGGAUCUUUCUCUUGAGGUGCUCAUAGGCCACUUGGAGCAACGAGACACAAGUCGCUCAGUCGUAUCCCACUCUUUGCGACCCUGUGGAUUAUAGCCUACCAGGCUCCUCUGUCCAUGGGAUUCUUCAGGCAAGAAUACUGGAGUGGGUUGCCAUUUCCUUCUCCAGGGGAUCUUCCCGACCCAGGGAUUGAACCCAGGUCUCCCACAUUGCAGGCAGACGCUUUAACCUCUGAGCCACCGGGGAAGCUCUAUAGAAAUAUAUACAGCAAUACAAUUUUGCAGGUGCCAGUUGUGAGGGCAACAGAAUAGCCAUCAAGUUAUAGGAAUUGACUGGUACAGCUACCAUAAGAGAAAUGGUCACUGUUAAGCAAGGAAAGAAGAAAGAACUUCCAGGUAGGAAGGGGAAUGCUCUAAAUAUUUUCAGAGGAAGCUGAGUGGAAUUGUUUGUCUGGGGAAGACAGGUGCAUACGAGAAGAGUGAGUGGAAGCCAAGUUUAAGUAGGGAGAUGGGGGGCUGAAUGUUGGGUUCAGGAGCUUGCAUCUUAAUUCCAUAGAUGUCAAUCAAUGGUAGUUGAAGAGAACAUAGAAGGCACUCAACAGAUAUUUGUUGAGUGAAUGAAUCCAUUGGAAGUGAAUUUACAUGAUGGUUGGGCAGAAAAUGGCAAACAAAAGAUCAGAGGAUAAGGAUUCAGACCAAGCUGAUGACAAUGAGAAUUGGCCAGAAAGGAUGUAUGGAAAAGACACUAAGAAGGAAGAACUGACAUGACCUGAUGACUGAACUGCAAGCAAGAGAGAGGACUAGAUAGUGGUGAUGUCAAGUAAAGUCAGGUGGCCAGGAGAACUAAGUUACCAUGAUAGAAUAAAGGGUAGCAGCGAGACUGCUUUUUGGAGGAAAAGUCACAAAUUAGUCUUCAGUACUUGAAUUUAGCAUCCCUGAGGAACAUCCAUGUGGAAAUGUUUUGUACAAUACGAUGGGCUCAAGAAAGAAAUUGAAUCAGGAAGCAGAGAUUUAGACAUCAGCCUCAUAAAGUGAUGGCUCGUGAGAAUGGAUGGACUCGACUCUGGAUGAGAUCUAAAGGUCAAAAUAGGGCCCUGGUGUAGGGACCAAGUCAGAGACAAGGGCUUUCUUCAGAAAUUUAAAGUCAUCCCUCUAGUUCAUUGUGAAUUGUAUUGCAAUAAAAGCACAGAGAGAUUGCAAAGUCUCACAGCACUUUUUAAAACCUAAAAACAAAGAUCAGGAAAAGAAUUAGAUAAACCUUGAGAUUCUGAUUCCAGAAACUACUCCCAUGCAAUCCUGAGGAAAAGACACUUUAUGCGCUUCUGAACUCUUAAAAGUUCUGAUACGUUAAGACUAGAAUAAUUUCUUUGAGUUCAUUUAAUAGAAGACAUGAAAUUUUGUCACCAAUAAUGAUGAUAAAACAACUCUAAGAAUCUCAACAUUUCUCCAAUAUGCACUUAAUCCAAUCAUUACUUAGCAAAGCUACUUUCAGAUAGAGUUCUGGAUAGGUUGCUCUGUUAAAAGAAUACAAUUUUAUGUUGAAUCUUCAACAGUUCUCAGGAGAUCUCAUGUCUGUUUCUCUUGUCUUGCAACUUAUGCUAUGAGGAGGGGAUUCCCCUUGACUAGAAAGAGUCGUGAUCCAAAGAGCAAGAGAAAAGGAUCCUUCUAGAAUAGAGUUGUUGUUAUAUUUUCUCCAAUAAAAUCAUAAAGUGUCACCUAGAGACAUUGCACCCAACUUUGUUAGGACACCAACUUUUUAUUAAAUCAGUAAGUUAUGGAGAAACAUGUCACCAUCGGAAACGGUUUUUGAAGCUGUUUAUUUUCCUCUUUCUAUUUACCUACUUCUUGAAGCCAAUGAACUACAUUGUAUUUAUGUCAUUGCUGGGUCAAAGCACAUAUUUCAACAAAGGAAUCACAGAAUUUUAAAAUCUGUGAUUUUAAAAUCUUUUAGCUCCCAGAGCUUGCCAAGUUUAAACUUCUAAUUUUUCAAAGAGUGAAAACUUAGACCCAGAGGGACUGAAUGCCUAAAGAUGACUCAGUCAGGAAGCUGUGGAGCCAGGUCUGGAACCAGGAGUCCUGGCUCCCAGCCUGUUAUUUUAAGUGCAUCUUUCCAUAGAUUCACUGUGGGCAUGGGUGAUUCUCAUUCGAUAGUGGGAAUUUAUAAAAAAGCAUUUAAGCCACAGCCACUUUAAAGAUGGAGGAUUUAUAAUGGGAAUGUAUCCACUAGGCCCACGUUUUAACAACACCUUCUUUCGAAGGAUUGGGACAGCAUCUGAAAGCUCUGUUUACAGACCUGGUUACUUCAGAGGGAAAAGCAGAAAUCUAAAGAAGUCAUGCAUAAUCCAUUUGCCUGGGAACACGAAGGGGACCUGAGAGCCAGCCCUGAAACCUUCGUAUUUAAAGCAGUUGUCCGCAGACAUAAUGCCCUUAGCUUGAUCAAAGGGCCGGGCCACACAAUCCCAGGAACAGGAAGGCUGACAAGGGGGGAGGGUCCCUUUGUCCUGGAGGACUGAAGGCCUGGAAUCCGGAUGCCUAAGCAGGCAGGGCUGUGGGCCCGUGCAGGGAGGGGCUGAGGCCCAACCUGUCCCCCAGAUUCCUCCCCCUGCCCUCUGCCGACACCAAGAAGUCCCGCGGUCUCAGAGCCCUGCCCUCUCUCCCCGUCUCCUCUCACUCUUCUUCAGCAUGUCAGUGAAAAGAAUUCCCCCAGCCCAAAGGCUUUGCUUGAACGAUUGCCCUUUCCUUCUGCAAUCAGAAAAGACCCCUGCCUGUCUGGUAAUGUCUGCAUGCUGUGAUUGUUUUCAUUUUUCCAAGCCUCCAAACACCCAUCGUGGACAGCCUUGAGGAGAAGCUUUUAAGGUGUAACACUUCCCCUGCGCCUGCGCAGAUGGACACACAGAAGCACAUUAGGAAGAUGUGCUUCAGACCCACCCACAUUCUUCGAAGCACAGAAUUUCAGCGAUGAAAGGGCUUUAGGCACUGCUCUUUGACCUUAUCAGCAACACCACCUUCAUACCCGCUCUCCUGUUUUGCAAGUUGUUGGGAAGGGCCUUUAUUUUUCUCCAGUUACUCAAACAUAUACACAGAAAGUAACUUCUGGUUACUUAGUGAGGGCCCCAAACCUGGUGGUUUGGGGUCCUUCUAAGAAGAGGGACUUGGGACACAGGCAUGUGCAGAGGAAAACCAUGAGAAGACACGGAGAAGAGAAGAUGGACGUCUGCAAGCCAAGGUGGGAGACUUCAGAUGAAACCAACCCUGCAGACACCUUAAUCUCAGAUUUCUGGCCUCCUGGUCUGUGAGAAAAUAAAUUUCCUUUGUUUAAGCCA